CCUAAGGGAGGCAGCAGUGAGGAAUAUUGGUCAAUGGACGAGAGUCUGAACCAGCCAAGUAGCGUGAAGGAUGACGGCCCUAUGGGUUGUAAACUUCUUUUAUAGGGGAAUAAAAUGUGACACGUGUGGGAGGUUGAAUGUACCAUAUGAAUAAGGAUCGGCUAACUCCGUGCCAGCAGCCGCGGUAAUACGGAGGAUCCGAGCGUUAUCCGGAUUUAUUGGGUUUAAAGGGCGCGUAGGUGGCUUGUUAAGUCAGUGGUGCAAGUUUGCGGCUCAACCGUAAAAUUGCAGUUGAAACUGGCAGUCUUUCGUUCAGUUGCGGUGGGCGGAAUUCGUUGUGUAGCCGU
rnacentral:rRNA from 1 species